GCUGAGAAGUCUCCCGACACAAGCGACCAACUCAGGACUUUCUGCCUGAGUCCCAGAGACACAGAACUGGCUGCUGUCCAGAGCUUGAUAAGACCCGGGCUGAUAAGUUGCAGAGCUCAGGCCACGAGGAGCCUCCCUUGGUGCUAGCUGCGCCUCAGAAACGUCUUCCCGGACCUCUGGGAAGGGUGGGCCAACUUGUAUCUCUCUGAGUUUCCAGUUGACCUCAGCAUUAACCACACUUCCUGUCUGGGAGGUGCCCCUGAAGGAUGCUAAGGAGUACGCUGAAUCCAUAGGUGCCCUCGUGGUGGAGACAAGUGCGAAGAAUGCCAUUAACAUCGAGGAGCUCUUUCAGGGGAUCAGCCGGCAGAUCCCACCCUUGGACCCCCAUGAAAACGGAAACAGUGGCGGGAUCAAACUGGGGAACCAGAGCUUGCAAGCCGGCCGGCGGUGCUGCUGAGCCGAGGGCGUGGCAUACAGAGCAUGACAGAAGGAGCCAGAGACCUCUCCUGUGUCCAGGGCACACAGAAGGACCCCACCCACGGGGCUAACUCUGCCUGCUGGAGUGUGAGCAGCUUUGUACCCUGGGAGACCCGCAGGAUGCUGAACGAGGAAGUUUCCUGAAAAGAAAUGAUAGAAAACUCUGGAAAACUCACCAUCCCACCGCAACACGGCCUCCGGUUUAUGAGAUGCACAUGGCGAGCUUGUACUUGCUAG
rnacentral:lncRNA from 1 species